CCUAAAAUUAUGCAGAAAUCGCAUUCCUAUGGGAUUCAUCUUCUUCCUUUGUUCUCUCUCGUAUUCAUCCUUACUACAAACGAUGUUUUGGACCGCCCUUUUUGGAGUCUUUCACUCUUACAGAUAUAUUCAAGUUUAGAAAUCAAAGUCAAUCUUUCAGGGGAAACUUUGACAUUUGAAUGUUAAUUCUCCCAUCCCUACAAAUUGUAUUAGUUAUGAUUUUGGACUUUCCUCCCAUUUCCUCAUUCAUUGCAAGUCCUCCCGGCUAGGAAGAAGAGAAGCCAUUGUUGAUUUAUUGAUAUAUUAUUUGUUUAAAGUUGAAUGGAAGGACCUGCAGUUCGAUUAUCAAAAGGAAGUUGCUAAAGCUAAUCUUUAAGAAUACCUAUUGCGAUAAUAUUUAAGAAUGAAUAUUGUGAUAUUCUCUAAGAAUGCAUGUUGCAAUAUCCUUUAAGAAUGCUUACUAUGAUAUCUGUCACAAAAAAUUUCAGUUAUAUAAAACAUUUGUGGUGUUUCAGAGCUAGAACACUUCAAUUUCUUCAAAAAUCCUUCAUUUGUAUAAUGCACGCAAUAUGUUAAUUCAUUUGCAGUUCAUGUAUUGUUCUUUAAGAA